AACGAACGCUGGCGGCAUGCCUAACACAUGCAAGUCGAACGAGACCUUCGGGUCUAGUGGCGCACGGGUGCGUAACGCGUGGGAAUCUGCCCUUGGGUUCGGGAUAACAGUUGGAAACGACUGCUAAUACCGGAUGAUGACUUCGGUCCAAGGAUUUAUCGCCCAGGGAUGAGCCCGCGUCGGAUUAGCUAGUUGGUGAGGUAAGAGCUCACCAAGGCGACGAUCCGUAGCUGGUCUGAGAGGAUGAUCAGCCACACUGGGACUGAGACACGGCCCAGACUCCUACGGGAGGCAGCAGUGGGGAAUAUUGGACAAUGGGCGAAAGCCUGAUCCAGCAAUGCCGCGUGAGUGAUGAAGGCCUUAGGGUUGUAAAGCUCUUUUACCCGGGAUGAUAAUGACAGUACCGGGAGAAUAAGCCCCGGCUAACUCCGUG
rnacentral:rRNA from 1 species